GGAUUAGAUACCCUGGUAGUCCACGCUGUAAACGAUGUCUACUAGCUGUUGGAACCCAUGAGGUUUUAGUAGCGUAGCUAACGUGAUAAGUAGACCGCCUGGGGAGUACGGUCGCAAGAUUAAAACUCAAAUGAAUUGACGGGGGCCCGCACAAGCGGUGGAGCAUGUGGUUUAAUUCGAAGCAACGCGAAGAACCUUACCAGGCCUUGACAUCCUAAGAAGGAUUUGGAGACAGAUCUGUGCCUUCGGGAACUUAGUGACAGGUGCUGCAUGGCUGUCGUCAGCUCGUGCCG
rnacentral:rRNA from 1 species